CCUACGGGUGGCAGCAGUAGGGAAUCUUCCACAAUGGGCGAAAGCCUGAUGGAGCAACGCCGCGUGGGUGAAGAAGGUCUUCGGAUCGUACAACCCUGUUGUUAGAGAAGAAAGUGCGUGAGAGUAACUGUUCACGUUUCGACGGUAUCUAACCAGCAAGCCACGGCUAACUACGUGCCAGCAGCCGCGGUAAUACGUAGGUGGCAAGCUUUAUCCGGAAUUUUUGGGCGUAAAGGGAACGCAGGCGGUCUUUUAAGUCUGAUGUGAAAGCCUUGGGCUGAACCGGAGAAGUGCAUUGGAAACUGGGAGACUGGAGUGCAGGAGAGGAGAGUGGAACUCCAUGUGUAGCGGUGAAAUGCGUAGAUAUAUGGAAGAACACCAGUGGCGAAAGCGGCUCUCUGGUCUGUAACUGACGCUGAGGUUCGAAAGCGUGGGUAGCAAACAGGAUUAGAUACCCCAGUAGUC
rnacentral:rRNA from 1 species